AUUGAACGCUGGCGGCAGGCCUAACACAUGCAAGUCGAAUGGUAACAGGAAACAGCUUGCUGUUUCGCUGACGAGUGGCGGACGGGUGAGUAAUGUCUGGGAAACUGCCUGAUGGAGGGGGAUAACUACUGGAAACGGUAGCUAAUACCGCAUAACGUCGCAAGACCAAAGAGGGGGACCUUCGGGCCUCUUGCCAUCAGAUGUGCCCAGAUGGGAUCAGCUAGUAGGUGGGGUAACGGCUCACCUAGGCGACGAUCCCUAGCUGGUCUGAGAGGAUGACCAGCCACACUGGAACUGAGACACGGUCCAGACUCCUACGGGAGGCAGCAGUGGGGAAUAUUGCACAAUGGGCGCAAGCCUGAUGCAGCCAUGCCGCGUGUAUGAAGAAGGCCUUCGGGUUGUAAAGUACUUUCAGCGGGGAGGAAGGGAGUAAAGUUAAUACCUUUGCUCAUUGACGUUACCCGCAGAAGAAGCACCGGCUAACUCCGUG
rnacentral:rRNA from 1 species